GCAGUAAAUUCCCAGCCGGCAUGAUCGUUGCUCUCCGAAGGCAAAGGUCACACGUUCGAAUCGUGUCGGGUGCGCCA
rnacentral:tRNA from 2 species